rnacentral:lncRNA from 1 species
GUGCAGUCAUGGAAGCUGAGGAGGCGGAUGUGGAUGUGGAGGGAGAUGUGGCGGCGGCAGCACAGCCGGGAAAUGAUGGAAAUACAGCAUCAGUUUUUCAAGAUCACUAUCUUGAUUCAACAUGGAGAAGGGAGAAUGGCUGUCUUCCUUGGACUCUGGAUAGCACCAUCAGUGACGAAAACAGAGCUGUCAUUGAGAAAAUGCUGUUGGAAGAAGAGUAUUAUUUAUCUAAUAAAUCACUUCCAGGAAAAUUCUGGGUUAAUCAAAAGGAAAA